rnacentral:rRNA from 1 species
GUGGGGAAUAUUGGGCAAUGGGCGAAAGCCUGACCCAGCAACGCCGCGUGAAGGAAGAAGGCUUUCGGGUUGUAAACUUCUUUUGUCAGGGACGAAAAAAAUGACGGUACCUGACGAAUAAGCCACGGCUAACUACGUGCCAGCAGCCGCGGUAAUACGUAGGUGGCAAGCGUUAUCCGGAUUUACUGGGUGUAAAGGGCGUGUAGGCGGGAAAGCAAGUCAGAUGUGAAAACUAUGGGCUCAACCCAUAGCCUGCAUUUGAAACUGUUUUUCUUGAGUACUGGAGAGGCAGAUGGAAUUCCUAGUGUAGCGGUGAAAUGCGUAGAUAUUAGGAGGAACACCAGUGGCGAAGGCGAUCUGCUGGACAGCAACUGACGCUGAGGCGCGAAAGCGUGGGGAGCAAACAGGAUUAGAUACCCGAGUAGUCC